GCCUGGCUGGCUCAGUCGGUGAAGCGUCCGACUUUGGCUCAGGUCAUGAUCUCACGGUUUGUGGGUUCAAGCCCCGCGUCAGGCU
rnacentral:tRNA from 1 species